GCAACGGAUAUGUCGCGGACACAAGCAAGUAACUUGCAACAUUUCUUGCAAGAGAAACUUUUGUGACAUGUGUAACAAAACAUGCGUAAACAUAUCUUAAAUAAUAACUGGAUGUACUGUUCCUUUCGCGGACUGAUAAGGGAGUCAAAUAGCUAUGAUGGAAAGGUAUAUGAUUUGCAAACUAUUAAGGCGGCCCUGGUCUAUUGUACGAAAUGUUCACAAGAUGGUGCUAUAUAUGUGGGACUUGUUACGCCUCUUCCGGCAAGACAUAACUAACACGUCUCAGCGCCACCAAACGCACACACGGGAAACCAAUAAACAAAGAGACCACAGUCAUACCUGCUGGAAGUCAUAGUCUAAUUAUAUCUGCUACACACCGAACAACACCGAACAAAGCUAAAUAAACAUCAUAAUUGUUACUUGAUGUGCAAAGUUUCUUUCUACAUAGUGGAUUAUCAACGAUAAAUCCACAGACAUCGUCUACCACUGUAUUAUCAAGACCACUUAAGAUUUGCGUGUGCUGGCGCAAAAUGCCAGGAAGUUCGUCGUUCUAUUGAUUACAAAUAAUCAUUGCUUCUCAAGUCAAUUUCGAUCUACAUUGCAAAUGAAUAUUUUGGAACCACCAUAGAACUUCUUAAGUAGGCUUGUUACGCCUCUUCCGGCAAGACAUAACUAACACGUCUCGGCGCCACCAAACGCACACACGGGAAACCAAUAAACAAAGGUGACGAAAAAGCCGCCGGAAACAUAAAGAAAAUCAUUGUUCUUUCUUCGGCAUUUCUAGAGAGCACAGUCAUACGUGCUGGAAGUCAUAGUCUAAUUAUAUCUGCUACACACCGAACAAAGCUAAAUAAAUAUCACAAUUGUUACUUGAUGUGCAAAGUUUCUUUCUACAUAGUGGAUUAUCAACGAUAAAUCCACAGACAUCGUCUACUGCUAUUAUUAUCAAGACCAUUUAAGAUUGCUGACAUAAAUUGCCAAGAAGUUCGUCGUUCUCCUGAUUACAAAUAAUCAUUGCUUCUCAAGUCAAUUUCGAUUUACAUCGUAAAUGAGUAUUUUGGAACCACCAUAGAACUUCUUAAGUAAAUCGGUCCACUACCAUUCCCAUAUAUGGGCAUCCUAGGUACGAUGCUGGAUGUCCGCAAUUUGCUCACUUCAGCUUUUCUUUUUCUGAAGAAUUGCUAAGAUUACAUUUUCCCGGUUCAUGGGGUUGGCCACAUUUUAUGCAUCUGUACCCCAUAUUGCAAUUAGAGCUGGCAUGCCUCACUCUUUGGCAGUUUUUGCAUUGGAAGACUUUAGGUCGUUUAAGCUUUUCCCAUCUUACUCUUUGGUUGAGCAGUAUUUUAUUUUUAAAAAGUUCCGCGGGUCGUUGUUGCUAUCAACUUGAAUUAUGAAAUGGUAUUUAUUUGUGUUUUGCCUGUCGAACAAUAGUUUUCUGGUUUUCAUUAUCUUGACGGUUUUCAUGUUGAGCGCGUUAAGCGCUGUUGUGACGUCAGUAAUAUCGAAUCCUCCUCUUAUUCCUUUUACCACGAAGGCCUUACAUUUAGUGUGUUUAGGAGUAAAUGUAUGAAAUUUAUGGUUGUUGGAUUUUAGGAUGAGUUACGCACUUUUCGUGAGUUCCGCUAUCCAUGGUUGUCAGUCUGAUCAUGUCAAUAUUUAAUUGUUUUAAUAAGAACGCAUCCAUCUUGAUAUUUCUAUUAUUAAGCAAGAUAAUUAUGUCCCUAAGAUUAGCUUUUAGUAUAUAUAUUGGGGGCAUUCUAAUUUUAGGGGUUCUCUGAUUCUUGCUGUGGCGCUAUUGACCUUUUCGUUGUCCCCCUUUUCCGUAAGGCUCAUGUCAUUUGAUAGCACCUUGAAUCUGUUAUCUGAUUCGUAGCUUGGGCCUUGGUUGCUGACUGGGCGUUUCGGUGAUACCGUUUUUUUUUUGGUAUGAGGAACCCUUCGGUCCUCUCAAUCUCUUUGUUCGCUUCUAGUCCUUGUUCUUUGUUUCUAGCUGCGUUUAUGUUUGGUGUUAUUCGAGAGUUGUUAUCGAAGUUCCUGGUGUUGAAAUCUUUGUCGAAACUCUUGACAUUUCUUUUCAGCAUCUUGUUCACUUCGUCAAACGAAGCACUUUUCUCCAACUUUCUUUUUUGCCUUGACGCCAUGGCUUUUUUUUUGGGUCCGUAAAGGGGCGUCGGAUGAGCUUACUUCACGUACUCAUUAUAAUUUUGUUGUCUGCUUUGCAAGAAACAAACACAGUAUCACUAUUGGUGAAGGACCCGUCUUGCGGUAAUUAACGUUAUUUUUUAAUAUUGCACCCUCGCCGUGGGGACUUGUAUUGUCUAUUCUUUUCACUCAAGAGCACCGAUCCGCACGUUCGUCUUCUUCGAAUGCUCAACAAGAACUGAUACGUUAAGACAUCUUCUCUAUAUAUGUCACAUAACUUUUCUCUCGCUUGAAUAGCAUUUUUACCUUCUUGGUAAUAAAAAAGCAAAAUAUGCCAAAAAUGCUGCCUUUGAUUUUUCAUUUUUGAUAAGACACCAAGAAAAAACAAUUGUACAGAAUUAAACAGAAUUGUUUACAAAUAUACCUUUAAAUGUUAGAUGUUAAAAUAUAUAAUAACAAUAUAGUUUAACAAUGAAGUUAGCUGCUUAAAAAUAUAACUGAUGCCUCUGUUGGGAAAAAAACGAGAUAACUUUCUGAACAACAUAAUAUACUUGAUAUGCGUUCUAUUCGCUAAGGAGGUGGAGAGAAAUUAGAAUUAUUUGCGUUUACUUGUAUAGAUUCCAAACAUGGAUUGUGCAAAUUUUCAGUUUGUAAGUUUGAUGGUAUCAAUAUUUCUUUCUGGUAUAAAUACUUCUCUCUUUUUUCUUCUGUAAUUUCUUAAAUUUUUAGUUACGACUGGACUUUCCGCGAGAUUGUAUCUCCGUAAAUUGUGCAUGACGCUUCUUACUAUGACAUUAAAUUGAAGUAGAGUUAUAAAGGAAUAAAUUAUAAUUUAUUUAUACAUUUUUAUGUAAAAAGUUUGAAAAAUAUGCAA